rnacentral:lncRNA from 10 species
AAUCUAAUAGUACUUUCUUUAUUUUGUGUCUCAGAUGGUUCUGGCUCUGGCCAUCAUGAAAUGUUUUACUUGGCUCCUGUGUUCCUUUGAUUCUGUCAUUAUCUUGGUUUUAGGGAUUUCUCCAAUCAACCCUGGUUCUUUUACUGGAGAAUGGCAUUAGAAACCAAGAUCAGGGCAUUUGGUGUGCUCCUGGUGACUACGGUGUGGCUGCUUCUAGCCCCUCGAAGCUGACAGAGCAAGGAAAAAUGUGUUCACCAUGGCUGAUGCCCGGGUGGUGCUUGGAGAGAGUAAGAAGCCGCCUGCCUGCAGCUCCUAGGCCAGGAGCCUGGUCAGGUGCUCCACACAUCUCCUCUGUUGUUAUAUCUUCACAAGAAGCCUCAUGAUGGGGUCUUCCCUGUGGCACAGACAAGAUACCUGGAACUCAGAGAUCCACCCCUUCCCAAUUCCACAGCAAGCCUGGAACCAGUGCUUUCUGUCUCAUGGAAAUGAUCAAUAGCCAAUCUGAUACUGUCAAUAAACUUUUUACAAAACUAUCAGCCAGAAAUAAUCACCUUUUGGGGUUUCAAUUUUCGGUGUUUUUGUUUUCCUGUUUUCUCACAUGUAACCAUUAUGUAAUAAAGAUCAGAC